rnacentral:rRNA from 1 species
UACAGAGGUCUCAACCGUUGUUCGGAUUCAUUGGGCGUAAAGGGUGCGUAGGCGGUCGUGCAAGUCGGAUGUGAAAUCUCAGGGCUCAACCCUGAAACUGCAUUCGAUACUGCGCGGCUAGAGUGCUGGAGGGGAGACUGGAAUUUACGGUGUAGCAGUGAAAUGCGUAGAUAUCGUAAGGAAGACCAGUGGCGAAAGCACUCUGCUGGGCCGACACUGACACUGAGAGACGAAAGCUAGGGGAGCAAAUGGG